rnacentral:rRNA from 1 species
CGAGUGGCGAACGGGUGAGUAACGCGUAGGAGUAUACCUUGAAGUCUGGGACAACUUGGGGAAACUCAAGCUAAUACCGGAUAAUCUCUGAGGAGGAAAGCUGGGGACCGCAAGGCCUGGCGCUUUAAGAUUAGCCUGCGUCCGAUUAACUAGUUGGUGGGGUAAAGGCCUACCAAGGCGACGAUCGGUAGCUGGUCUGAGAGGAUGAUCACCCACACUGGGACUGACACGCGGCCCAGACUCCUACGGGAGGCACCAGUGGGGAAUAUUGGAGAAUGAGGGAAACCCUGAUCCAGCAAUGCCNNNNNNNUGAAGAAGGCCCGAGGGUUGUAAACCACUUUAGGUGGGGAGGAUGGUAGACCAGGUUAAUAGCUAGUUUUAUUGACGUUACCCGCAGAAUAACCACCGGUUAACUCCGUGCCAGCACCGCGGUAAUACAGAAGGUGCAAGCUUUAAUCUGAAUUACGGGGCUUAAAGAGUGCGUGGGCAGUUAGGUAAGUUAUCUGUGAAAUCCCUGGGCUUAACCUAAGUGGGAAAGAUAAAACUGCUUGACUAGAUUGUGGUAGAGGAUGCUGAAAUUACCGGUGUAGCUAUGAAAUGCGUAGAGAUCGGAACGCACACCAGUGGCGAAUGCCUCUAUCUGGACCAACACUGACGCUGAG